GCUGGGCAUGGUAGUGCAUGCCUGUGGUCCCAGCUACCUGGGAGGCUGAGGUGGGAGGAUCACUUGAGCCCAGGAAGUUGACACUGCGGUGAGCCAUUGAGUGUACCACUGCACUCCAACCUGGGUGACAAAGUGAGAUCCUGUCUCAG
rnacentral:SRP_RNA from 1 species